CGGUAGCUGGUCUGAGAGGAUGAUCAGCCGCACUGGGACUGAGACACGGCCCAGACUCCUACGGGAGGCAGCAGUGGGGAAUUUUCCGAAAUGGGCGAAAGCCUGACGGAGCAAUACCGCGUGCGGGACGAAGGCUUUUGGGUCGUAAACCGC
rnacentral:rRNA from 1 species